CAGCCGCCGCGGUAAAACGGAGGGCGCGAGCGUUACCCGGAUUUACUGGGCGUAAAGGGCGUGUAGGCGGCCUGGGGCGUCCCAUGUGAAAGGCCACGGCUCAACCGUGGAGGAGCGUGGGAUACGCUCAGGCUAGAGGGUGGGAGAGGGUGGUGGAAUUCCCGGAGUAGCGGUGAAAUGCGCAGAUACCGGGAGGAACGCCGAUGGCGAAGGCAGCCACCUGGUCCACUUCUGACGCUGAGGCGCGAAAGCGUGGGGAGCAAACCGGAUUAGAUACCCGCGUAGUCCCUGUCUCUUAUAC
rnacentral:rRNA from 1 species